GACGGAGGGGGCAAGCGUUGUCCGGACUCACUGGGCGUAAAGCGCCCGUAGGCGGUCUGAUGCGUCGGUGCUGAAAGCGCCCGGCUUAACCGGGCGAGGCGUGCCGAUACGAUCAGACUCGAGGCAGGCAGAGGGUGGCGGAAUUCCGGGUGUAGUGGUGAAAUGCGUAGAGAUCCGGAGGAACGCCUGUGGCGCAAGCGGCCACCUGGGCCUGUCCUGACGCUGAGGGGCGAAAGCGUGGGGAGCGAACCGGAUUAGAUACCCGGGUAGUCCACGCGGUAAACGAUGCCAGCUCGGUGGGUGGGACCGUUCGCGGUCCUGUCUGCCUUAGCUCACGCGGUAAGCUGGCCGCCUGGGGACUACGAGCGCAAGCUUAAA
rnacentral:rRNA from 1 species